GUUUCAGCCGCCGCGGUAAUACAGAGGGUGCAAGCGUUGUUCGGAAUUACUGGGCGUAAAGCGCGUGUAGGUGGCGAUGUAAGUCGGGUGUGAAAUCCCUUGGCUCAACCAAGGAAGUGCACUCGAUACUGCGUUGCUUGAGUACUGGAGGGGAUGGCGGAAUUCCCGGUGUAGAGGUGAAAUUCGUAGAUAUCGGGAGGAACACCUGUGGCGAAGGCGGCCAUCUGGACAGUCACUGACACUGAGACGCGAAAGCGUGGGUAGCAAACAGGAUUAGAAACCCGGGUAGUCC
rnacentral:rRNA from 1 species